CCCCACUAUGCCCGGACGUAAACUUAGACACCUGUCCGCCAGAAAAUUACGGGCGAAAGCCUAAAACUCAAAAGACUUGACGGUGUCCUAAUCUACCUAGAGGAGCCUGUUCCAUAAUCGAUAACCCCCGAUAAACCCGACCUCCCUUUGAAAUACCAGCCUAUAUACCGCCGUCAACAGCCCACCUUUCAAAAGAACUAAAGUAGGCCAAAUAGAAAACUCUCUAAAAAGUCAGGUCAAGGUGUAGCUAAUAGGGUGGAGACAAUGGGCUACAUUUUUUAAAAUAACAUACCACGGACCAGUAUUUUGAAACUAAAACUAUAAAGGUGGAUUUAGCAGUAAGCUAAAAAAGAAUGCUUAGCUUAACAUAGCCCUAGGACACGUACACACCGCCCGU
rnacentral:rRNA from 1 species